CAUGCGUGCACGUCGCUCCACAUCGCCGUCGGCUUCGUCUUCCAGCCAACACUUCCAAGAAACAGUCGUUAAACUCACGUAUUUUAGGGUUCGAAUCCCAGGUCAGGCACAGUGAUAUUGGGUUUAGCUCCUCAGUAUCAGCCUAGGGUGUGGAAUUUACACCGGAUAUGGCAUUAGCAUCGCACAUCACAUCAUAAGACGGAACACACAAGGUAUAAGCCCUCAACAGAUCAAGUACUACCGUGUUUGUGAUCGACUAUCAACAUCCUCGACCCAAAGUACCCUCAAACCCCUCAAACCACUGUAGCGCUCAUGACCGGAGACCUCCAUUAGCUGGGGGCGGGAACAACAAAGGAGUACGAAGGGGUCCGUUGAGAGUAAUCAUUGAUGUUGAUUAUAGCGGCGACCUGCGAGACACUGUAUCGAAUCGUUGCUCACGCUGUUUGUUUACACAUCAUUUUAGACGGAUUAUUUUUCAAUAAUGUUCUAUUAUAAUAAAAGAUACACACUUCUUUACAAUUAAUUAAUUUUCCAAAUGCAGUUUUUUCUACAGGCUUUAAUUGUAAAAAUUAUUAAUAAAAUAUUACAACGAUGUA